rnacentral:rRNA from 1 species
GACGAACGCUGGCGGCGUGCUUAACACAUGCAAGUCGAACGGAAAGGCCCUGCUUUUGUGGGGUGCUCGAGUGGCGAACGGGUGAGUAACACGUGAGUAACCUGCCCUUGACUUUGGGAUAACUUCAGGAAACUGGGGCUAAUACCGGAUAGGAGCUCCUGCUGCAUGGUGGGGGUUGGAAAGUUUCGGCGGUUGGGGAUGGACUCGCGGCUUAUCAGCUUGUUGGUGGGGUAGUGGCUUACCAAGGCUUUGACGGGUAGCCGGCCUGAGAGGGUGACCGGCCACAUUGGGACGGAGAUACGGCCCAGACUCCUACGGGAGGCAGCAGUGGGGAAUAUUGCACAAUGGGCGGAAGCCUGAUGCAGCAACGCCGCGUGCGGGAGGACGGCCUUCGGGUGGGAAACCGCUUUCGCCUGUGACGAAGCGUGAGUGACGGUAAUGGGGAAAGAAGCACCGGCUAACUACGU